AUUUUUCAAAUCUUGGAAUCGUUAUUCUUGCUGAAACCAAAAUGACCUAAUGUAGGAGUAGAAUUAUAACCUAUAGUUCAUAGUUCUUUUGUUAGUGUUUUUUGCUGUUCUAAUAGAUCCUGCUUCCUCCCAGAAUUGUUUUCUGCUUGGAUUAAACUCUUCAUUCUUUGUAGAAUUAGAGCAGACAGUGUAAAGCGUAUUUAGAUGACAUAAUGUAGCUUAGCAAACGCUCAUAGUACUUAAGAU
rnacentral:misc_RNA from 1 species